UUUGGUAGCAGGGGAGGGGGCUACAGUGGUGGCCCCUGUGAGAAGUUUCUGGAAAGCUCCCCUGGCUCCAAGUCAGACCAGCCUCUGGCCGAGGCCGAGCCAAUUAGUGGUGGUGGCUGCACCUCUGUGAUAACGUGCUUAAGAAGGGGAACCUGAGAGGGAGACAGCUGUGUGAAGACCA